UACGUAGGGUGCGAGCGUUAAUCGGAAUUAUUGGGCGUAAAGAGCUCGUAGGCGGCUUGUCGCGUCGAAUGUGAAAACUCGGGGCUCAACUCCGAGCUUGCAUUCGAUACGGGCAGGCUAGAGUUCGGUAGGGGAGACUGGAAUUCCUGGUGUAGCGGUGAAAUGCGCAGAUAUCAGGAGGAACACCGGUGGCGAAGGCGGGUCUCUGGGCCGAUACUGACGCUGAGGAGCGAAAGCGUGGGGAGCGAACAGG
rnacentral:rRNA from 1 species